GAUGAACGCUGGCGGCGUGCUUAACACAUGCAAGUCGAACGAGCCUCUCCAAUGAAGUUUGAAGCUUCGGCUGAUAACGGACUUGGGCUCAGAGGCUAGUGGCGAAUGGGUGAGUAACACGUGGAUAAUCUGCCCUAAAGAUCGGGAUAACCUUGGGAAACCAGGGCUAAUACCGGAUAAUGCCCCGUACCGUAUGGUACAGGGCCAAAUGCUCCGGCUCUUUAGGAUGAGUCCGCGUAUGAUUAGCUUGUUGGUAGGGUAAAGGCCUACCAAGGCGACGAUCAUUAGCCGGCCUGAGAGGGUGUACGGCCACACUGGGACUGAGAUACGGCCCAGACUCCUACGGGAGGCAGCAGUGGGGAAUUUUGCGCAAUGGGCGAAAGCCUGACGCAGCGACGCCGCGUGAAGGAUGAAGGCUUUCGAGUUGUAAACUUCUUUUAGCAGGGAAUAAGCCUUAGGGUGAAGGUACCUGCAGAAUAAGCCCCGGCUAACUACGUG
rnacentral:rRNA from 1 species